rnacentral:rRNA from 1 species
GACGAACGCUGGCGGCGUGCUUAACACAUGCAAGUCGAACGGAAAGGCCCCUUUGGGGGUACUCGAGUGGCGAACGGGUGAGUAACACGUGAGUAACCUGCCCUUGACUUCGGGAUAACUUCAGGAAACUGGGGCUAAUACCGGAUAGGAAUCCUUGCUGCAUGGUGGGGGUUGGAAAGCUUCGGCGGUUUUGGAUGGACUCGCGGCUUAUCAGCUUGUUGGUGGGGUAGUGGCUUACCAAGGCUUUGACGGGUAGCCGGCCUGAGAGGGCGACCGGCCACAUUGGGACUGAGAAACGGCCCAGACUCCUACGGGAGGCAGCAGUGGGGAAUAUUGCACAAGGGGCGGAAGCCUGAUGCAGCAACGCCGCGUGCGGGAUGACGGCCUUCGGGUUGUAAACCGCUUUCAGCAGGGGCGAAGCUUGUGGUGACGGUACCUGCAGAAGAAGCACCGGCUAACUACGUG